UACGGGGGGAGCAAACGUUGUUCGGAAUCACUGGGCGUAAAGGGUGCGUAGGUGGUGAGGUAAGUCGGAUGUGAAAGCUCGGAGCUCAACUCCGAAACUGCAUUUGAUACUGGCGUGCUUGAGGACUGGAGAGGAGACUGGAAUUCAUGGUGUAGCAGUGAAAUGCGUAGAGAUCAUGAGGAAGACCAGUGGCGAAGGCGGGUCUCUGGACAGUUCCUGACACUGAGACACGAAGGCCAGGGGAGCAAACGGG
rnacentral:rRNA from 1 species